rnacentral:rRNA from 1 species
GAUGAACGCUGGCGGCGUGCCUAAUACAUGCAAGUCGAGCGAACGGACGAGAAGCUUGCUUCUCUGAUGUUAGCGGCGGACGGGGGAGUAACACGUGGAUAACCUACCUAUAAGACUGGGAUAACUUCGGGAAACCGGAGCUAAUACCGGAUAAUAUUUUGAACCGCAUGGUUCAAAAGUGAAAGACGGUCUUGCUGUCACUUAUAGAUGGAUCCGCGCUGCAUUAGCUAGUUGGUAAGGUAACGGCUUACCAAGGCAACGAUGCAUAGCCGACCUGAGAGGGUGAUCGGCCACACUGGAACUGAGACACGGUCCAGACUCCUACGGGAGGCAGCAGUAGGGAAUCUUCCGCAAUGGGCGAAAGCCUGACGGAGCAACGCCGCGUGAGUGAUGAAGGUCUUCGGAUCGUAAAACUCUGUUAUUAGGGAAGAACAUAUGUGUAAGUAACUGUGCACAUCUUGACGGUACCUAAUCAGAAAGCCACGGCUAACUACGUG